AUCUAAAAUGUGCUGAAGAAAAUAUACUACUAAUUGGACACAGGUGCAAGUUUGUAGUCAGAGUAGAAUCCAGGCACGUUUUUUAACGUUUUACUUAACUGCAAGUCAUUCAUUUGCUCAAAACUUGGUGACAGCAAGUAUGGUCAGAAUUAAAUGCACACUUUCAGGGUAAAGAAAGUAAACACACCCACAAACAUCCACACAUAGUCCACUAUUUACAUUUGCAUCUACCCUUCCUUUAAAAAAAAGGAAGAAACACAUCAUAGAAUGAUAUUGCAUCCUUUAGAAACAUUAAAAUAUGCCGAGUCAGUUAAACAUCUUGAUUAUUCUCACCUGCCUCUGAUUAGUGGUCGGGAUGCUCACCUGCUCCUGGUCACUAAUCAGAGAACUAUUUCUUCCUGCCUCUCGCCACUCUCUGCCUGGCUGCUUUUGUUUGCUACAGGCAAGUAUUUACAUUCUUAUCUUUACUCCUUGCUCCUGUUUUUGCUUAGGGUUUCACCAUAGUGUCUCAGGCAAAUGUCACAUGUUUCUGUUUUUGCAGUCUUGCUUGAUUUUUGGGGGGGAAAAACAUCAUUUUUCUUACCUGCACGCUGCUUCCGGACGUCCAUCCGCAUCUUUAGGAAAGGACCAGCGCUUCACCAGGCGGCCCCACGGUGACAGGUAACAUCCUCCAUGUCUCCCUCUGGUAAAGUCUGCCCUGCCCCGUCUUGGAGGGCGCCGCCGCCGCGCCCGUUUGGCGCUUGUAUGAACCCAAUUAUGUCAGGCCAGGGGUGUCCAAAGUGCAGCCCGCGGGUGACAGGUAACAUCCUCCAUGUCUCCCUCUGGUAAAGUCUGCCCUGCCCCGUCUUGGAGGGCGCCGCCGCCGCCGCGCCCGUUUGGCGCUUGUAUGAACCCAAUUAUGUCAGGUGACAGGUAACAUCCUCCAUGUCUCCCUCUGGUCAACUCUGCCCUGCCCCGUCUUGGAGGGCGCCGCCGCCGCCGCGCCCGUUUGGCGCUUGUAUGAACCCAAUUAUGUCAGGCCAGGUUGGAUGGCGAGCUAGAGCCUGAACUACAGUCUGAAGCUUUAUGCCCGGAACCGAACCAACCGAACCGAAUCCACCCAACCGAGCCCCGGGCGGGUAGGAGGCUCCUCAGCAGCCCCUCUGUUUUAUCCCUUUGUUUUUCCAUAAACGCAACGUGUUCAUUUCUGUCCUCAACUUUCACAUUUACCCGUUACCUUCACUAAAACCCCUCUGGACACUGCCACCACAACGUGGACUUUGCAAAGUCGUUUAAUAUAAAUGAUAAAUGGGUUGUACUUGUAUAGCGCUUUUCUACCUUCAAGGUACUCAAAGCGCUUUGACACUACUUCCACAUUCACCCAUUCACACACUGAUGGAGGGAGCUGCCAUGCAAGGCACUAACCAGCACCCAUCAGGAGCAAGGGUGAAGUGUCUUGCUCAGGACACAACGGACGUGACGAGGUUGGUACUAUGUGGGAUGAACUGUCGUGUUGCGCUUAUACCAUUUUUGGUAAAAACAAGGACUGAAUCAAGUACUUUAUCACAUUGUAAAUAUUGAACGUUCUGUAAUUUAUGUUGAAAAUGUGAAUGGCCAUUUGAAUUUAUGUGUCUGUUUGUUUAUUUUUCCUAUAAUUCUUUAAUAUAAUUUGGUACCAUUUAAACUUAAA